rnacentral:rRNA from 1 species
AUUGAACGCUGCCGGCAGGCCUAACACAUGCAAGUCGAGCGAGCGGCGGACGGGUGAGUAAUGUAUGGGGACUGCCCGCUAGAGGGGGCUAACUAAUGGAAACGGUGGCUAAUACCGCAUACUAUCGGAUAACCCAUAUGGGAUUAUCUAGUCGGUGCGGUAAAGGCUCACCUAGGCGACGAUCUCUAGCUGGUCUGAGAGGAUGAUCUGCCACACUGUAACGGAGACACGGCCCAGACUCCUACGGAGGCAGCAGUGGGGAAUAUUGCACAAUGGGCGCAAGCCUGAUGCAGCCGUGCCACGUGUAUGAGGAAGGCCUUAGGGUUGUCAAGUACUUUCAGCGGGGAGGCGUUACCCGCAGAAGAAGCACCGGCUAACUCCGUGCCAGCAGCCGCGGUAAUAC